GGACAGGCUUCGGUCCCAGCAGGGAGGUGGGGCACGUGCCACAGCUCAAGAUGGGAGCAGGGGAGAAAAUUUCUCACCUGCCACAUUUCUACUCCUUGGUUUAAAAUGUGAACAAUCUUCUCACAAAAUGAGGAAGCUCUACCCAACUGUGCUCCUUUGUCUCUCAAGGCAACCACUAGAUUAAUCCUGUGAGGCAGAAAGCUUCCCCUUCCACCUGCAGCCUCCAGUCUUCUCCGGGAGGGUCGUGUGGCAUCUCUGUCACAACUGCACGGUCCCUAAGAUGGCAGGCUAAUUGCCUCGAGGAUCAAGCUUGUCUUCACACAAGGCCACUUAAAGACUCAAGGGCACAGUAUACCUGUUUCUGCUAUGGUUGCCAUGCUUGGGUUCUGAUGAUUCUCUUUCAUGGCUGA
rnacentral:lncRNA from 12 species